CAAAACCCAUACCAAAAGACUGCCUCUCUCUUCUCUCUCGCGACACACCCAUCCCAUAUUGGAGAUCUCUCUGGCAACUCUAGGUUCGGCGACUCCAGGUGCGGCGACUCCAGAUCCGGUAAUGUCCCUUCAUUUUAACAGAUCUUCAAAUUUGGGUGUGUUUUGGUAUUGUGACUGUUUUAUUCUUCUGGAUUAUGAAGGAAACUGACUUCUUCUCGGUGAGGACUAGUAAUGUCUCUUUAUUUAUGCUAUUACAUUAUAAAUAAUUUCAAUGUGAAGUAAAAAUAAAUUAACUGCCUGCAGAAUAAAUUUGGAGUAAAAUCAAUUAAGUCUCGAAAUGUUUACAGGCUUCCAUAUUGUAGAAUGACUUCCCUUCUAUUGGGGCUUGUCCUCUUCAGGGGUUAAGGAUUUGAGCGGGGUUGGGUAAUCCAGAUUUGUAAAUGCCUCCUAGUGGGAACUCUAGCGUUUAUCGGAGUUGAUUUUCAACAACCAGUUUUCUAUAUCAAAUGAUUAUCAUCAAUUGUCAGAAAAAUAAUAAUAGACGGUAAUGUCCCUUCAUUUGAAGCAAAAUGUCGUCAAAUUUGCUUAAUAAACAGGUACUGUGAUGAUGGUAGCAAGUAUAAUUUAAGUAGUAAAAGAUUUAUUUGUAGCAAGUAUGAGUAACUCUUAUUUGCAAAUGGAAUAACAGAGAUCACUCGUCAGACCUUAGAAGAAAACAGAAAACUUGAUAUAUAUUCUCUGAUGAACACACAUCUAAGGAUUACAUUACAUUUCAUGCAUUUGCUAGUAGUAGUAGAUGGAAAUUGCAUUACCAGUGGUAGAUCCACGAUUUGAACUCAUUGGGCGUCUAAUUUAAUUACGGAUUUAUAUUUUUUAUGAAGUGAUUUUUUUUGCCAAUUCGAACAUUAUAAUUAUGUGAUUUCUUUUUUUUUUUUGGUUCUUAUAUUAGAAUUCUUCAAUGGCCAGAAGAAAUAAGGGGAUAUGUCAUUCAUGUAGACGGGCAGGACACAUGUUGCCAGAUUGCCCCGGAAAGAGAAGAUGUCCAAACUGUGGCUAAGGCUAUGUUAAAUGGAUGGAGGUGGAAAAGCAAAGCGAUAACAAAGGGUGUUUGUUCCAUUGUUCUACCCGUGAUGUAUGUCGAUUUUUCGAUUGGAAUAAAUCUCCUCCUGCCGUAGUAUAUCCCUUGCAAGGUGAAGGUCAAUCGAGCGGCGCCUCCAAUGGUAGUGAAGCCGUUGAUGAUUUGUCACAUAUGUUGGAAAUGUGUGCUAACAUAGCCGAGAAAAAAGACAUUGAGAUCUCUCUCAACAUCAAAACAAUUCGUAAGGGGAAACGGGAUUCGGAAGAUGUUCUAUGAACUUUGAUGUAAUGGGAUGGUUCAGGAAUAUUUAAUCUUCGGUGUGAUGCGUUAACUAUUGCUUUUGUAAAAAUUUGAAGACAGCUUGGAUCCAUGAAUUUCAGUAGGUUUUAAAUUUCCUUUUAUGAGCAUUAUGUUUAGGACAUGUUUUACUAAUGUGCUGUUGAGUUUAAAUGUUAAUGUGAAUGGAGUGUGUUUGGUGUUAUACAUGAAUCAAGUUAUAGUUUAAACAAUCACUUUUAUAUCC
rnacentral:lncRNA from 1 species